GGCUGCUAAGCGGAUUAAAGAUACUCUGUUCGCUGCUCGAAAUGUUGGUAAAAUGCCGGAGUGGUUAAGAGAAGAUGUUUGGGAUAAACUUCUUGAGAAAUGGAAUACCGUAGAAUGGAAGAACAAGAGUGAACAAGCAAAGGCAAACCGUGCCUCCAAUAAAGGUGGCUCAUUGCACACAGGAGGAAUAGGAAAGAGGGCGAGAUAUGAGUAACGCUGAGGUCUUCGAGGAGACGCAUAAGGAAAAAAAAAAAGAAGGAUGGUACAAGAGAACACUGGAUGGAUACGUGUGUGUCAGACACAUGGUGGGAAAAUUGCAACAAACUCAGCCGCAUUCAACUCAACCAACGCCUAAUGGUAUGGCAUCAUUAUGGACAGACGCAGCG